rnacentral:rRNA from 1 species
GACGAACGCUGGCGGCGUGCCUAAUACAUGCCAGUAGAACGCACGGUUUAUACCGUAGCUUGCUACACCAUAGACUGUGAGUUGCGAACGGGUGAGUAACGCGUAGGUAACCUGCCUGGUAGCGGGGGAUAACUAUUGGAAACGAUAGCUAAUACCGCAUAAUAUUAAUUAUUGCAUGAUAAUUAAUUGAAAGGUGCAAUUGCACCACUACCAGAUGGACCUGCGUUGUAUUAGCUAGUAGGUGAGGUAACGGCUCACCUAGGCGACGAUACAUAGCCGACAUGAGAGGGGGAUCGGCCACACUGGGACUGAGACACGGCCCAGACUCCUACGGGAGGCAGCAGUAGGGAAUCUUCGGCAAUGGACGAAAGUCUGACCGAGCAACGCCGCGUGAGUGAAGAAGGUUUUCGGAUCGUAAAGCUCUGUUGUAAGAGAAGAACGGGUGUGAGAGUGGAAAGUUCACACUGUGACGGUAUCUUACCAGAAAGGGACGGCUAACUACGUG